rnacentral:lncRNA from 1 species
UACAGCAAGGGGGUCAGGUUAUCCUUAGAUGUAUACAUUGCAGUUACAGUUUUUUCCCCCACCCUUUCUUCUGUUGCAACAUGAGUAUCUAGACAAAGUUCUCAAUGCUAUUCAGCAGGAUCUCCUUGUAAAUCUAUUCUAGGUUGUGUCUGAUAAGCCCAAGCUCCCAAUCCCUCCCACUCCCUCCCCCUCCAAAGAACCUCCAUACUGUUUUGCAUUGCAGUUGUACCAGUUUACAUUCUCGCCAACAGUAUGGAAGAUUCCCUUUCUCCACACCCUCUAUAGCAUUUAUUGUUUGUAGACUUUUUGAUGAUAGCCAUUCUGACUGGUGUUAGAUGGUACCUCACUGUAGUUUUGAUUCACAUUUCUCUAAUAAUUAGGGAUGUUGAGAAAUAUGCUUUCACUAGCUCCUACAUGAUUUCAGUUCUGGAGACUGCAGAGGGACAAAAGUUUAAGCUCCAUAGCAGUCUUUUGAAGUAUAUAUGUAUCUUAAACAGAAAUAGAUUUGAUAUAUUAAUCUGUAGUAAUGUGAAUUGUCUGUUUUUUGAUAAGAAAUAGAUUUAUUAAGAUAGGAUGCUUCUGAGAGAUGAAAGCAGGCAGGAAAGGAGGUUCUGCCCCAAGGCUUAGGUGGGCUACAGUUUUAUCGUCCAAGGGCAGUCUGAACUGUGGUUUUUACAACACUAAAUAUAGAGGUUUACAUUUUAAUAUUUCCAAGCAAUAGCAAGUACCAAAUUUAUUUCAUAAACUUAAAUUCAGCAUUUAUCUUUCUUACCUAUUACUAACAUGUAAACAUUUUUGUUAUAUAUGGAAAUUACUGUUCAGAACAUUGAAAUAAUAACUAAAGUUUGUAAAGGACAUAAUUUAAUCUUUGUGGCUGUAAAUGUGCUGCAAUUCUCACAAAGUUGAUGUUCUAACAUGACAUGAUUUAUGACGUGACAGUUUGAAAGGGCACAAUAGUUUUUUUCUGUAAAAAUAUUAGUUCAAAUUUAUUAAAACAUCCCACUCCCUCUCACUCCCCCUUGGCAACCACAAGUCUGUUCUCCAAGUCCAUGAGUUUCUUUUCUGUGGAAAGUUUCAUUUGUGCCAUAUAUUAGAUUUGAGAUAUAAGUGAUAUAAUUAAAAAGAAAACUGCUUACUUAUCAAUUCAAAUUAUCCCCCAAACUGCUUACCUAUCAAUUCAAAUUUUCCCAUUACUUUUGCAAGGACAUUAAUUUUGCAAGGCCAUUACUUUUGCCUUUUACCAAUGACAUAUAUGUUCCACUAUAAUAAUCAUAUAUCAUUUCCUAGUGUGCCAAUUUCUGGUAAAUACUACUUUUGAUUGAAGCAUUCUAUUCAUGCAGUGUUCAUGAAGUGGGGGUGGGGAUUUCUGUGUAGAACAUCGUUUCACUUAAUGAAAGAAAUAUUUGGCUAUGUUAUUUCUACCUUAAUUUAUAUCCCAUUAUCUUUUUAAUUUUUUUAUUAAAGUGUAGUUGAUUUACAAUGUUGUGUCAAUUUCUUCUGUACAUCAAAGUGACCCAUAGUGUAUACACACACACACACACACACACACACACACACACAUGUUCUUUUCUCAUAUUAUUUUCCAUCAUAUUCUAUCACAGGAGAUUGGAUAUAGUUCCCUGUGGUAUACAGUAGGACUGCAUUGCUUAUACUUUUGUGUCCUAUUCUCCUAGUAUCUAUUCCACCUGCCACAGUCUCUUCUGGGCCACCAGGCACCUAAGUUCCUCAUUCUUGCUGAUGCUCUUACUGUAUCUUGUAAGGAAUGAAACUUGUUCAUUCAUCAUCUUACUUUUUAAUCCUUAUGGCCAUCUAAUUUAGAUGGUAUUCUUUAUCUCUGAAGCUAAAUAUAAACAGUCAAAUACAGGAUGUUGUUUGGAAAGAAAGGUAUCUCUUGAUUGGCAAAGGCAAUGGAUAAAUGCAUCCACAUUAAAUAUAGAGGCAGGGACAGUGGCCUUGGCCUUGAGAACUUGAGAAAGUGGAAAGGUUAAAAGAUGAAACAGGAGUUCCCGUCGUGGCGCAGUGGUUAACGAAUCCGACUAGGAACCAUGAGGUCGCGGGUUCGAUCCCUGCCCUUGCUCAGUGGGUUAACGAUCCGGCGUUGCCGUGAGCUGUGGUGUAGGUCGCAGACGCGGCUCGGAUCCCGAGUUGCUGUGGCUCUGGCGUAGGCCGGUGGCUACAGCUCCGAUUCGACCCCUAGCCUGGGAACCUCCAUAUGCCGCUGAAGCGGCCCAAGAGAUAGCAACAACAACAACAACAAAAAAAAAAGACAAAAAGACAAAAGAUGAAACAGGAAAAAAAAUGCCUCCUAAACCUAAUUAUAUACUUUUCCUUUCUUUUCCGACUGAAGGGGUGAUUAGGAAUAGAGAUAGAAACGACAGAGAUACAGACAUAAUUUUCACAAAAGAUUACUUUGUGCAGUGAAAAGUGAAAUGUGUUAUUUGUAAAUGCAAAUUGAACUUACCUCAUCACAGGGACAUAAAAUUCAUGGUGUUGCUAUAGUUCAAGGUUUGUUCACUGAGCUGCCUUGACAAUAUUCACCUUCUGUAAAUCUCUAAAAAAUAUACUCAAUCCUCAGGCAAAUGCCUUACACAUUUUGUUUUACAGGAGAUCUUGGUACAAGCCAAAGAAAAGUUACCUCUUGAGUCUUGAAUAGGGAGCAUAAAACAAUAUAUAUGGACAAUCAGAAAUGUAGUUGUAUCACAGGACAUUUACUUAAAUGAAAUGAACUUACGUAAUAACAACACAAGGGACACAAUCAUAAAUAUAGUAGAUUCAGCCAGCAAUUAUGCUUAAACAGAGUGUGCUCUGGGAAUGACUGCAGGAUGGGAAAUCCAGCUUUCCUUUUUUUGGUCUUAAUACUGGUACCAACAUCAUUGAGAGUGACUCUAGUUCUUCAAAACGUAUAAGUUUGUUUUUUUUUUUUAAAUCAGAUGGAUUGUAAAUUCAAACCAACCAUCUCAUCCAGUAUUCAUGUGAAGGAAAAACAAAACAAAAUAAAAAUACCCUCUCUGAUCCAAUACUGGAGAAAAUAUGGCUUUGUCAGACUGAAUUACAAAUAUGUAUCUCCCACAAAAAGUUGGGCUAGGUGACUGUCAAGGCUCAUUCUGACCAUGCAUGACUUUCAUCUUUUGAGCUGAUUUUAAGACCUAUUCCUAGGAGAACUUAUAUACUGAUAUUCCACAUGGUAGUAUAGGUCCUGAGGAAUUCUUAAGGUUGUUUUGAGGGCCAUAGAGUAAAAAACCACUCUAAAAGAAAAAACUGUCAACCAGAAGGACCAAAUCUUUUCAGUACUUUAUUACUAAUAAAAUUCCUAAUAAUAUGUGCAGAAACCAUGAUGCUGAAACACUGCAUUUGCAAACAAGCCAAUGGUAGAGAUAUGCUGUUAUAUAUUUAACUGCAUUGAAUUCAUGCCUACUUUUUAAGCUUCAAGCUUUUGGACAUUCUUAAGAAGACACAUUAACAUUGAUAUUAUGGGACAUCAAUAAUGAGAAAAUUACCUGGUUUAUGGUGUUCAUUUAAGUGAUAAUGACCUAGGCAAUUCAUUAAGAUAAUUUUAUGAAGGAAUAUGCUGUCCUUUCUGUGGAAAGGUUCAUUUGUGCUGUAUAUUAGAUACCAGAUAUGAGUGAUAUCAUAUGGUAUUUUUCUUUCUCUUUCUGACUUCACUCAGUAUGAGUCUCUAGUUCCAUCCAUGUUGCUACAAAUGACAUUAUGUCAUCUUUUUUUAUGGCUGAGUAGGACUCCAUUGUGUAUAUAUACCACAUCUUCCUAAUCCAAUCAUCUGCUAGUGGACAUUUGGGUUCAUUCCAUGUCUUGGCUAUUGUGAACAGUGUUUCAAUGAACAUGUGGGGGCAUGUGUCUUUUUUAAGGAAAGUUUUGUCUAGAAAAAUGCCCAAGAGUGGUAUUGCUGGAUCAUAUGGUAGUUCUAUGUAUAGAUUUCUGAGGUACCUCCAUACCCUUCUCCAUAGUGGCUGUACCAGCUUACAUUCCCAUCAACAGUGCAGGAAGGUUCCCUUUUCUUCACACCCCCUCCAGCAUUUGUUAUUUGUGAACUUAUUAAUGAUGGCCAUUCUGACUGUGUGAGGUGGUAUCUCAUGGUAGUUUUGAUUUGCCUUUUCUAAUAAUCAGGGAUGUUGAGCAUUUUUUCAUGUGCUUGUUGCCCAUCUGUAUAUCUUCUUUGGAAAAAUGUCUAUUCAGGUCUUUUGCUCAUUUUUCCAUUGGGUUGUUGGUUUUUUUUUUUUGCUGUUGAGUUGUAUAAGUCGUUUGUAUAUUUUGGAGAUUAAGCCCUUGUCAGUUGCAUUGAUUUGAAACUAUUUUCUCCCGUUCCGUAAGUUGUAUUUUUGGUUUCCUUUGCUGUGCAAAAGCUUUUCAGUUUGAUUAGGUCCCAUUGGUUUGUUUUUGCUUUUAUUUCUGAUGCUUUGGGUGACUGACCUGAGAAAACAUUUGUAAGGUUGAUGUCAGAGAGUGUUUUGCCUAUGUUCUCUUCUAGGAGUUUGAUGGUGUCUUGUCUUAUAUUUAAGUCUUUAAGCCAUUUUGAGUUUAUUUUGGUGCAUGGUGUGAGGGUGUGUUCUAGUUUCAUUGCUUUGCAUGCAGGUGUCCAGGUUUCCCAGCAAUACUUGCUGAAUAGACCGUCUUUUUCCAAUUUAAGUUCUUGCCUCCUUUGUCAAAGAUUAAUUGACCAUAGGUGUCAGGGUUUAUUUCUGGGUUCUCUAUUCUGUUCCAUUGCCCUGUCUGUAUGUUUUGAUACCAGUACCACACUGUCUUGAUUGUGGCUUUGUUAUAUUGCUUGAGUUCUGGGAGAGUUAUGCCUCCUGCUUGGUUUUUGUUUCUCAGGAUUGCUUUGGCAAUUCUGCGUCUUUUGUGGUUCCAUAUAA